UCAUCCACCCUCCCAUCCAUCCACCCAUCAUCAUCCACCCAUCCUACACACGUUUAUCCAAGGUGAGGCAGGCUUCAGGCUCUGUUCUAGGCACAGAGCUCAAUGCCAAGCAAGACAGACUCAGCCCCUGCCUCUGGCCACGUCAGUCCCCUGGACCAGCACGAACGUGAUGGCCGGACAACGUGCAGGGAGACAGAAAAAUGACUUGCCAUCAACUUAGCGCACAAAGGAUCGGGUUCAUCCCCUGAAGCCCAGAGCCCCGGGAGGGCCCCCGGGAGAAGGCACAGCCAGAGCCUUGACUGACAGGCACGUCGGGAGAGCCCCCAGGGGAGGAGGGACCCAGCCACGGACCGCACCGCAGGAGGCAGCCUGUCAAGAUUUGCUGCAAAGAACCCACAAGGUGGUAUUUAGCUGUGCUCGGAGGGUUCAUUUUUUUGCUAUGAGAAACAAUGGUUGUGCUGUCCAGACCGCCUUGUCAAGUGCAAGCAUCCAUUUUGUCACCGUCAGACGCCAUGUGACCCCGUGCGUUCCUUAUUUCACUCUGUGAACUGCUGCCUCUCAGCUCCAGUAAAUGAUCGCGACGUGGACAUGACAACUUGGCCUUCAACGGCAUUUGUUUUCUGUUCCUGGCCAAAUGCUGACAUAUAAAACUCAAUUUCAUUUUGCAGGAAGUCAAGCGAUUGUGUGUUUGUUUUGACCUCUUCUGAAGGCACGGUUGGUGCCUCCCACUCCGGCCUCCUUCCAGCUCAGGUGAGGACGUGCCACGUGGCCAGGUUAGCUGUAAGUCAGCCGGGAAGGGAUCACGGAGGAACCCGAACUGACCAGAAGGGGAUUCUGAGUUCUGAAGAGUCAGGGCAGCCUGCCCUUUGUGGAGCUGGCUGAGACCCUGGCAAGUCCCUGCCCUGAUUGGCCUCAGGCUUCCGUCUGUGAAAUGGGCCAUCGCACCCACGGGGCGCCGACUCCCAGGACCCCAGCACCCGCUAUGCUCCGCACAGGCCUGGCGCCUGCAGGUCGAAGCCCGGACCCUGCUUUGCUCCUCUCAGCUCUGUGACACAUCAUCUUCUGCGAUCUCAGUUGUCCAAGCCACCAAAUGGGGAAGGCAUGAGACCACAGUCGUGUGGCUGUAACAAGACAACACUCAGAAUGCCCUUGGCCCAGCCUGAGCACAGAGCAGCUGCCCUUUCCUCUCGGUCUGAUUAGUAUUUAAAGAGGCCGUGUAGAUGAUAUUGGUGCCGCGUGACGCACAGGUUUGGGGGCCAGCGCUUACCUGAGGGGUGGGAUGAGGAGGACACAAGCCCUUGCUUUACAGAUUGAGCCCAGCUCCCUUGGCCCGGCCCCUGUCUCAGCGCCUGUCACAGUCUGGUGGUUUCCGUGUUAGUGGGGCUCCCCUGGGCGCAGAUGGGAUCGUGUCCUGUCCCCUCCCCAGGUUGCACUUGAGAACUUGCACCCUCUGCUGAAGAUGGGGUGCAUGGCCCCACCCACUGGCGCUGGGCCUUCUCCUGGAUCAUGGCCAGGCCUAGGACGGGGCGGAACUAACGCUGGGCCACCUCUGAGUGGGGUCUCCUGAGGCACUGUCCGAGCCUUUCCUUCUGCCCAUCUGAUGUCCGUUCCCCAAAGGACGGCAGCAAGCCCAGUGGUGGCCACAGAGCCCAGGCGAGACCUGCAGACGUGCGCUUGGAGCAAACUCCCGUCACUAAGAGCCAGUGAGGUCUGAGGGUCUGACUCACCGGCCCUGCAGGCAGGACGCAGGCCUGACGAGCCCCGAGGAGCACGCAGAGCGCCCAUCUGACGAGCAAGUCGCUCACGGAGGAAGUGAGACGCGAUGGCUGACUUUCCUGGUGUUGCCCAGGUGACGCAUGAUGGAGUCUGACGGCCUUCCGAUCCCUCUUUCCAGGUGUUUCUUCAGCACCUUGUGAGGCUUACGUGGGAGAAGGGAGGUCGCUUGAUCUGGUCCGUGGGAGAGCCGUGAUGCCAGGAGCAGUCGCCCCGUUUUCUGCCCCAACAGGCACGCUUCUUGUCCUGAGCGGGUGGCCGGGCUUUGGGGUUUAGGAGCCUCUGGUCCCCUUAGACCAGGUCUGAAGGAGCCCACUCCACUCAUGGAAUGUCCAUUUCUCUUGCGAUUUGGGGAAAAUGAAACCUGUUCUGAAUUUUUUUUUAAAGAUAAUUUUACCUAAUAUUUUAUAGUGCUGAUUGAUGGUUCAAUUUUACUUAACGAUGGGUGUUAAGGCCCUUUCCCUGCAGGAAGGAUAAAUUUUCAUUGAAAGAUGUCAAACGCACACCUUCUAACUGGCCUGCUCACGUGGGGGCCUGAGGGGGUGGUGCUUGUGCUGGUGAAGAUGACACCAGCGACGAUGAAGAGAGAAGAUGGGAGGAGAGGAUGGAAAUUGCUUCAUGGGAACGCCAGCCUCUUGGCCGUCACUCAUUCUGUCCUCUUUGCGUGAAACCUCCCUGCCUCCCACCAAGGACGCCAGCUCUCCUUCAGUCACAGUGGAGAUGACACCUCCGCCAGGCAGCCUGCCGUGACUUCCUUAGGGAGUGUCUCUACCCACCUCUUGUUUUUAUGCAUUUAAAGGGCAGAGGCCACGCUUUGUGUCUCUUGGGCUAUCAGGGCACAGAGCCAGCCCCAGACAGAGACGGCCUGCACGUGAUUGGGCUCCUAUAAUUCUCCGCUGUGUGACCUUGGCCAUGCUACGAACCUCUCUGUGCCUCAGGUUUCUCAUUUAUAAAGUAGGGACAAUGACAGACCCACCGCUUAGGAUUAUUCUGAGGGCAAAGAGGAAUGUAUUGAAAGCACGUAGUGCAGCCCUUACUACAAAGCAAACCCUGGUAAGUAAAUGAUGGGUGGCGGUGGUGUCUGCUGUCACCAGGGGCGUUGUCAGCGUGCGGUUGUUAGGGUGCUGGUGUCAGUGUCACUGGUGUCGGUGUCUGCCUGUAUCUAGGUCAGGUGCAGUGCAGGCUAGCUCUCUACAGUGUCGAGAACACCUUCCCUGGGUGGCCUGACUCACAGCGCCCUGCGUCCUGGCUUCAGCACCAAUCAUUAUUCUCUUUUUACAGGCGAGGAGACAAAACCAGCACAGGUUUAAAUGGCUUGUCCAAGGUCACACGGCGAGCGGGAGCCGCGCCCGGGCGCCUCUUCCCAGCUUGGCGCUCGGUCCGCUCACCACAGGGAGAGCGUCGAGUCCCUGUCGGCUCAGCGGGUAUCUCAUUGAAACAUACUUCAUGGAAACUCUGGAUGGAUGACUUGGGCAUUCUUUCCAGAGAAGCUGUCAGUUCAGAUUAGGCUCCAAGGGGCGGUGGCGCUCCGAGUUGGUGGAUGUCGCUUACAGAUGAUAAUAACGUGGGCAUUUCUGAAGGCAUCCAUCACGUUGAGAAAAACAGGAGGGCCCUUCACGACUGGGAUGGUGACAGUGGCGCCGGUGUUUAUCGCACCCCCUCCAGGUGACCAGAGAGAGAACCCUGGGGCUGCAGAGCCGCCCGGCAGUGCUGACAGCUGUGACGUGGGGAGAAGGCUGUGUGGACCCUGCUGCCUGUGGUUCUGUGGUCGCUCCCUCUCCCAAGGCCACCAGAGAAAGAUGAGCUGAAAGCACCUCUUCCCGGGUUUGUCUCCGAGAUGGCGGGCUGGGCUCGGGGGAGAAGAGAAUGCCCAGGGAAAUGGACCCCCCUGGGGCUCAGGCCUCAGCUGCUUGAUCCUAGCGAUACCCAGUCGCAUUGGCCCAAGCUGUUCCUCAUGGCUGGCCUGCUCCACUCACAGGUGUUGACUCCCACUUUUGUUUGCCCAAAAUAAAAAUGAAGCCCCAGCUACCUUGUUUUUGAGGUGGAGAGAUACACAAUUGUACAGAAAAAGACGCUACUCUCAGUCACUCAACAAACAUUCGCCAGCCCUUUGAAGGGUGCGUAUCGUAAGGACCUGUCCUCAGGGAUACUGUUGCAAGAACCAAAUUAGAUGAAUAAGGUUCCAGGAAACUAUUCAGGACCCGCUUUGUCCCUGGGACCAGACCAGGGGUUUCCUAUCCCCAUUACGGAAAGUUUCUGCUCAGGGCCUGUUUCAGGGAGGGAGUCAUGCUCCGGCCAAGCAACACCUGCAAUGGAUGCGGUCAGGUGCCAACGAUGACUGCUUGUUUUGCGGUGGCGGUUUGUUCUCGCUUCUGUAAACCUGUUUGCAAUAAUGGUUUAUUCUUGCUUCUGUAAACCUGCUUCUGCUUAAGCUAAAGCAUAUAUAAACUCUCACCGGCCAAGGCCCGGGGCCAUUCUCCUCUUGCAGAGUGAGAUGGACGCCAGGCCUGGC